rnacentral:rRNA from 1 species
AACGAACGCUGGCGGCAUGCCUAACACAUGCAAGUCGAACGAGACCUUCGGGUCUAGUGGCGCACGGGUGCGUAACGCGUGGGAACCUGCCCUUAGGUUCGGAAUAACUCAGAGAAAUUUGAGCUAAUACCGGAUAAUGUCUUCGGACCAAAGAUUUAUCGCCUUUGGAUGGGCCCGCGUAGGAUUAGCUUGUUGGUGGGGUAAUGGCCUACCAAGGCGACGAUCCUUAGCUGGUCUGAGAGGAUGAUCAGCCACACUGGGACUGAGACACGGCCCAGACUCCUACGGGAGGCAGCAGUGGGGAAUAUUGGACAAUGGGCGAAAGCCUGAUCCAGCAAUGCCGCGUGAGUGAUGAAGGCCUUAGGGUUGUAAAGCUCUUUUACCAGGGAUGAUAAUGACAGUACCUGGAGAAUAAGCUCCGGCUAACUCCGCG